GCAAGUCGAACGAAGUCUUCGGACUUAGUGGCGGACGGGUGAGUAACACGUGGGAACGUACCUUUUGGUUCGGAACAACUCAGGGAAACUUGAGCUAAUACCGGAUGAGCCCUUAGGGGGAAAGAUUUAUCGCCGAAAGAGCGGCCCGCGUUAGAUUAGCUAGUUGGUGAGGUAAAGGCUCACCAAGGCUACGAUCUAUAGCUGGUCUGAGAGGAUGAUC
rnacentral:rRNA from 1 species